GAAGAAAUGCAUGUUAGAUCCUUCUAUCAUCCUGAGAAUUUGGACGUGUGAAAAUAAGCAAGAAACCCAGAACCAAAUGUAUAGAUUUGGAAGCUGUUGAUCUGAGAAGAAUCUGAGCCUGAAAGUGUUAUUCUCACUGGCUCUGGCCUGGACCAAGAGAAUGCAGAAAUGGCUUCCAUUCUGUGAGCUGUGACUUCUAACGUGGCCACAUAGCUGGUGGAGAGGUGGCAACCUUCAUCUCCAAGGAUCCCCUGCACUGCUCGCUUUAUGCCCAGAGCAACCUCAUGCUGACAAGG